rnacentral:misc_RNA from 1 species
CAAAUGUACAAUAAAAGUAAAUACACUCAAAACCGCAAACUUCAGGUAACUAUUUUGAAUUGCAAAUGACGAAAAUUUAAUGUUGAACGAUCUGAUAAAAUAACCAUUUGGAAACUGAAAAAAAAAAAAA